rnacentral:lncRNA from 1 species
UGCACCUGUGGUCCGACCUCAGCCUCGGCACCUCGGACGAGCAUAGGCACAAGGAACCUCGGACGAGCAGGGCCUCAGUCUCUUGGACGACCUCAGCUCUGGGUCGCACAGGUGCAAGGAACCUCGGACAAGCAGGGCCGACGAGCAGAGGCACGAGCGCAAGGAAACUCGGACGAGCAGGGCACAUGCGCAAAGAACCUCUGGUCGCACAGGCACAAGGAACCUUGGACGAGUAGGGCCUGUGAGGCGCAAGUAACCUCGGACGAGCAGGGCCGAGCGAGCACAGGCUCGAGCGCAAAGACCGUCGGGUCGGACGAGCACAGGCACAGAACCGAGCCUUCACGUAAAUAAAUCCUCCAUAUGAGAGAUUUAAAAAA